AAAUUGAAGAGUUUGAUCAUGGCUCAGAUUGAACGCUGGCGGCAGGCCUAACACAUGCAAGUCGAGCGGCAGCGGGAAGUAGUUUACUACUUUGCCGGCGAGCGGCGGACGGGUGAGUAAUGUCUGGGAAACUGCCUGAUGGAGGGGGAUAACUACUGGAAACGGUAGCUAAUACCGCAUAA
rnacentral:rRNA from 1 species